GCCUCCCGGACCAGACCUGGACAGAGGCACCCCGGAGCUGUGACCGCCCCUUUGGACCAGCGCCGGCCCCCUGACUUCUGUGCAGCCUGACGCCCGCCGUCCUGAGCAAGAAGUUCGUGUACUUUUUCUUUUAGGUUCAUUUAGAGCCAUGCCUUCCCUAGCCAGCCGCAAACUCAAGCCAGGAACAUUGGUCACUGCGCCAGGCAGGACAGAAGUCCCCCUGCCCCCACGCAGCUGCCUCUGUGGGUCACCCUGACCCAUAUUUGGUCGGGUGUUUGCCUCGGAAUUCUAUCGGCUCCCGGAGCGCUGACCAGCAGACGUCUCUGAUGACAAAGAAGUCGGGCCGUGUCUCUAUCCUGUCCGACAGGCAGCCACCAGCUGCAGGUGAGCAUGAGAAGUGUGGCUCGGAACUGACUGUUAACUUCACUUCAAUUAAUUUAAAUGUUUGUCAGCUGGAAGAGAAAAGCACGAUGUGCGAGUCCUGAGUUCAGCUUCACGUGCGGACGCGCUGAGGACUGCAGGCCCGGAGACAGCCCCGCAGGAGCUCUGGGCAAGCACUCCACAGAGGUGAAGGGCGGACGCCCGUGUGUG